CCUACGAGAGGCUGCAGUGGGGAAUAUUGGACAAUGGGGGCAACCCUGAUCCAGCCAUGCCGCGUGUGUGAAGAAGGCCCUCGGGUUGUAAAGCACUUUCAGUGAGGAAGAACGCCUGGUGGUUAAUACCCAUCAGGAAAGACAUCACUCACAGAAGAAGCACCGGCUAACUCCGUGCCAGCAGCCGCGGUAAUACGGAGGGUGCGAGCGUUAAUCGGAAUUACUGGGCGUAAAGCGCGCGUAGGUGGCUUGAUAAGCCGGUUGUGAAAGCCCCGGGCUCAACCUGGGAACGGCAUCCGGAACUGUCAAGCUAGAGUGCAGGAGAGGAAGGUAGAAUUCCCGGUGUAGCGGUGAAAUGCGUAGAGAUCGGGAGGAAUACCAGUGGCGAAGGCGGCCUUCUGGACUGACACUGACACUGAGGUGCGAAAGCGUGGGUAGCAAACAGGAUUAGAUACCCUGGUAGUC
rnacentral:rRNA from 1 species